rnacentral:rRNA from 1 species
UUACGCCAGCAUCCUAGCCGAAGCGCGGACCUCAGUCCCGGCUGGCCGUAUUACACCCUGGGCUAUAACACCUCCACCGAAGUGGAGGCCACAUUCCCAGAGCCUUUAUCCGGCCGCCGAAACUGAUGCUGGCCUGUCCAAACUGAGUAAACCGGUCAGAAGACCGGCCGAACAGUUUAAACAAGUCUGAUUGCAAGCGCUUCCCUUUCAACAAUUUCACGUGCUUUUUAACUCUCUUUCCAAAGUGCUUUUCAUCUUUCGAUCACUCUACUUGUGCGCUAUCGGUCUCUCGCCAAUAUUUAGCUUUAGAAGAAAUUUACCUCCCAUUUAGAGCUGCAUUCCCAAACAACUCGACUCGUCGAAGGAGAUUUACAUAGGGUGCCAUUUCCUGUCACAUACGGGAUUCUCACCCUCUAUGACGUCCUGUUCCAAGGAACUUAGACAGGCGGCUUCCCCAAAUCAUCCUCUACAAAUUACAAUGCGAACCCGAAGGCUAGCUUUCAAAUUUGAGCUGUUGCCGCUUCACUCGCCGUUACUAGGGCAAUCCCUGUUG